rnacentral:rRNA from 1 species
AACGAACGCUGGCGGCAGGCUUAACACAUGCAAGUCGAACGCAUCCUUCGGGGUGAGUGGCAGACGGGUGAGUAACGCGUGGGAACGUGCCCUUCAGUUCGGGAUAACCCAGGGAAACUUGGGCUAAUACCGGAUACGUGCGAGAGCAGAAAGAUUUAUCGCUGAAGGAUCGGCCCGCGUCUGAUUAGCUAGUUGGUGGGGUAAUGGCCCACCAAGGCGACGAUCAGUAGCUGGUCUGAGAGGAUGAUCAGCCACAUUGGGACUGAGACACGGCCCAAACUCCUACUGGAGGCAGCAGUGGGGAAUAUUGGACAAUGGUCGUAAGCUUGAUCCAGCCAUGCCGCGUGAGUGAUGAAGGCCUUAGGGUUGUAAAGCUCUUUCGUCCGGGACGAUAAUGACGGUACCGGAGGAAGAAGCCCCGGCUAACUUCGUGCCAGCCGCCGCGGUAA